rnacentral:lncRNA from 1 species
GGGUAUGUAGUUUAUGUUACUUUUCGGGUACAAAAUUUUACUUCAAUAAUAUGAACUUCAACACUAAAUUCAAGAAUUACAAAGAAGUUCAGCAACUUCAAACACAAGUUCAAAUGAACUAUCAAAAUGAAGUUUCUACAAUUUUCUGAAAAAACAGUAAAAUCAACUUUAAAGAAAGUAAGAUGAAGACAGACGUGCAUUUGUAGGGGGGUGUGCGGAUUUAAUAGGUAUAAUAGAUUUAGUAGGUUUGUAGUGAAUCUAUUUUUAUUAGUGCGUGGAUAUUUUGUUUCAAUAUCUUUUAAUAAUUUACUUUUUUCGUAAGAUAUAUUCAUUAAAAAUUUUUUUUUUAUCCUGUAGUAAUUGCAGAGUUACAAAUUUCUGUAUAAUAAUUUAUCCUAUCUGUGCUAUAAUGUAUAUCUAAUUCUAGAUUUUCAAUGUUAUUUAUUAUCUUGUGUUGUUCUUCUCGUAGUGAGUUUUUUAAAUUAUAUAAACUAUCACAUGUACUUUUAUCUAAAUUUUCUAAAGUUUUUUCUAUCCAUAUUAAUUUUUCUUUUAGGUCUUCCAUUAUUUUCCUAAUUCGGUUUCUAUAAUUAAUUUCAUUAUUUAGAUUUUCUUGAUUUUCUCUAGUUUGUCUAAUAUAUUCUAACAUUUUUUAAUCUGAAUAAUAUCCUUCUGGGUAA